CUCAGAUCUUGACAGGAAGACAAAUAUAUAAGAAAAGCUCAACAUGCAGAGUAAAGGAUAAAGGAACUAAGGCCUGGGAGAAUAAGAAGCCACAUAAGACUAUCCAUGGGCUUUCUGAACUGGCUUACAAGCCACUGAAGAAAUACAGAGGAAAAAUAAAAGACAAAGAAAACAAAAAGUCUUAGCCAGUGACAGCAAGAACUCCUUCUGCUCAGGAAUCUAUCUGCAUGUCCUUCUGCAUGUAGCACGCAUCAUAUCCCUGGAAUAAGAUACAGCACUUUUCAAGACAUUGUGGAUCACUAUUUACUGCUGAAAACCUUACUGGUGGUCCAGAACGGGCACCGGAUAGAGCAAUUCAGGAUUUCUGUUCCAUUGAGGCUGCUUCUUCUCAUAUUUGCCUUUCCUCCAUAAGCUUAUCAGAGUUUCACAGGGCAGUGCCAUGAAGAUUGCACAGAAUCAACUACUUUGGAAAGAACUUCAAGACCCCCAAGUCCAACUAUUGCCCCAGGAAGACCACCAUUAAACCGUGCAUCCAGAGAUCUAGUUGAAGUCUCUUCUAAGAGUAUGCAAUCUUAUUAUGAAUUACUUCAGUGGUGAAUGGUCAUAUAGGAGGCAUCAAGAAGCUCUGCAGAAAAGCACAAAGCUAAUACUAUCUACAAUGGGAUAAGAAUUCAAGCUGAUUUUGAGAAGUUGUAAAAAUUAUCUGAACUUAGAAAACAUUACUGAUGUGGGAAAGGUAGGAAAACAUUUUUUAGUUUGAAGAAGAGAAGGUUGAUAUUUUUUUUCAAUUCUUUGUCAUAAUUUUGGCAGUAUAGCCAUUUAGAAAAUGCUGAAAAUAAUCCAAUUGGAGCAAAGACAACAAUAAUAAAAAAAUCACGGUUUUGUGUAGUAUAUAUAGA
rnacentral:lncRNA from 14 species